UUUAAACUUUUAUUUCCGGGUCGGAAAAGUUCUUAAAGGAAAAUGUAGAAUGCCUCGCGAGCUUAGCCAUUUAAGAAGGCCCCGAAAUGUAAGCCUGAGGAAAGUUUAGGGAGCUUAGCCAGCUGUGUGGACAGUGAAAUGCUGAGUUCAUAACAUCCUUUAUUGAGCGUCUGCUCUGUGCCGAGCUGUCAGAAUAUUGGAACAGAAGAGUGUUUGCUGUAGGGAGUUUACAUUCUACUGGAGAGAGAACUAAAAUGAGCUCGCACAUAAAUAGUGUGGUGAGCUAUAAGGUAAUAUAUGGUAUGGAAAAAACAGAACAGGUUAAAAGAAGAUGAGGAGAGGCUAGAGGGGGAGGUUGCAACUUUUAGAUAGGAUUUUAAGAGUAGCCUUCUUUUAAAAAGUUACAUUGAGCAAAGAUUUGAAGGAGGUAAUAGGGUGAAAUAUGCAGUUUUCUGGGGUAAGAGCUGCUAACCUACGAAAAGCUGGAUAUUUAGGAGAAAAGCUGUCCAGGAAAAGGAAACAUAACAGCAACAAGCCUCCUUAGUAGCAAGGCUGGCAUGUUUGAGAAACACCAUGGAGGCCAGGAGUCAUAUGAUAAAGGAGGAGAGUUAAGGUGGGAGGGGACAGGAAUGACAGAUUGUGAGGAUUUGGCUUUUAUGUAAGAUGAGAUCCAGAUCUCUUGGAGGAUUUUGAGAAAAAGAAUGACAUUAUUUGACUUAUAUUUUAAAAGCAUCACUGAGACUCUUCUUUGAAGAAUAGACUUUAGGGAAAGGAAAGUGGAAGAAGGGGAGAAAGGCCAGUGGCUUGAACUGGAAUAGCUUUAAUGGAGGUGGUGAGAAGUGAUCAGAUUCUUUUGGAAGGUAGAAUUCAAUGAAGGGCAUGAGAGAAAGAGAACAGUCAAGGAUGACUCCAAGACUUUUGAACUGAGUGGCCGGAAGGAUGAAGCUACCAUCAGUUGAGAUGGGAGAGUCUUCAGGUGGAACAAAUUUGAAGGGUGUAAAAGACUAUGGUUGACCUCAUGGAGAAAAAAAACGUCAUGUUUGCCCUCAAGUAGCUUACAGUUUAGAAGAAGAUAAAGCACAAUUCUGGUGCAACUGUCAACGAAAGUGAUUCUCAAAGUGUAAUACCAGGACCAACAGUAUCUACAUCACCUGGGAACUUGUUAGAAGUGCAGAUGCCUAGGCUAGCCCAGACCCUCUGAAUCAGAGGCCCUGGGGGUGAGACUCAGAAAUCUGUGCUUUAUGAAGCUCUCCAGGGCCGGCCCAGUGGCGCAGUGGUUAAGUUCGCAAGGUCCACUUCUCGGCGACCUGGG